rnacentral:rRNA from 1 species
GGUUAAGUGACUAAGCGUACACGGUGGAUGCCUUGGCAGUCAGAGGCGAUGAAAGACGUAGUAACUUGCGAUAAGCCCAGAUUAGGUAGUAACAACCAUUUGAGUCUGGGAUUUCUGAAUGGGGAAACCCACUUACAUAAGUAAGUAUCGUUAUGUGAAUACAUAGCAUAACGAGGCGAACCGGGGGAACUGAAACAUCUAAGUACCCCGAGGAAAAGAAAU